GACGAACGCUGGCGGCGUGCUUAACACAUGCAAGUCGAACGGAAAGGCCCUGCUUUUGUGGGGUGCUCGAGUGGCGAACGGGUGAGUAACACGUGAGUAACCUGCCCUUGACUUUGGGACAACUUCAGGAAACUGGGGCUAAUACCGGAUAGGAGCUCCUGCUGCAUGGUGGGGGUUGGAAAGUUUCGGCGGUUGGGGAUGGACUCGCGGCUUAUCAGCUUGUUGGUGGGGUAGUGGCUUACCAAGGCUUUGACGGGUAGCCGGCAUGAGAGGGUGACCGGCCACAUUGGGACUGCGAUACGGCGCAGACUCCUACGGGAGACAGCAGUGGGGAAUAUUGCACAAUGGGAGGAAGCCUGAUGCAGCAACGCCGCGUGCGGGAUGACGGCCUUCGGGGUGUAAACCGCUUUCGCCUGUGACGAAGCGUGAGUGACGGUAAUGGGUAAAGAAGCACCGGCUAACUACGUG
rnacentral:rRNA from 1 species